rnacentral:lncRNA from 1 species
UUUUCAAAUUGCAGCAUCAAACAGGACCAAUCCAAUACUGAACACAAAAAAAGUGUUUUGGCAGAAACCUCUUUUGAUCCCCAGGUACCAAAUCAAAACCCUAUCUGCAGAAGAUAAAUAGGCAGAAGAAAUCAGUAAGAGGCGAUUCGAAAACGAAGUGGAGGCGGAAAGGAAUUGGAAAAAACCCUAAAGCUUGGAGGCGGAAAAGCAGAAAACUCGAAUCUUAAAAUCAAAAAACAAACCGAUUGAAGGAG